UACAGAGGUCCCGAGCGUUGUUCGGAUUCAUUGGGCGUAAAGGGUGCGUAGGCGGCUUCCUAAGUUUGAUGUGAAAUCCUGGGGCUCAACCCUGGAACUGCAUUGAAUACUGGGAGGCUAGAGUACUAGAGAGGAAACUGGAAUUUACGGUGUAGCAGUGAAAUGCGUAGAGAUCGUAAGGAAGACCAGUGGCGAAGGCGAGUUUCUGGACAGUUACUGACGCUGAGGCACGAAGGCCAGGGGAGCAAACGGG
rnacentral:rRNA from 1 species